rnacentral:rRNA from 1 species
GACGAACGCUGGCGGCGUGCUCAACACAUGCAAGUCGAACGAAGUGCCGAACGGGUGAGUAACGCGUAAUCAACCUGCCCUUCAGAGGGGGACAACAGCUGGAAACGACUGCUAAUACCGCAUACUGAAGUAGGUGAUUGCGUCUGAUUAGCUGGUUGGUGGGAUAACGGCCCACCAAGGCGAUGAUCAGUAGCCGGACUGAGAGGAUGAACGGCAACAUUGGGACUGAGACACGGCCCGGACUCUGACGGGAGGCAGCAGUGGGGAGUCUUCCGCAGUGGACGAGAGUCUGACGGAGCAACGCCGCGUGAGUGAUAACGGCCUUCGGGUUGUAAAGCUCUGUUAAUCGGGACGCGGUACCGGAAUAGAAGGCCACGGCAAACUACGUGCCAGCAGCCGCGGUAAUUC